UUGAAAAUGAAACUAAGACAUCCUGAUCACUUGAUCAUUUUGCAGCUUAUACAGAGUAAGAGACUUGAAGACGGAGUGGCUUACACAUUUAACAGAACAGCUUCAAAGGGCAACAAAUACUUGGAAACAAUAGAUAUGGAACUCACCGAUUUAAAGGUCAAAAUCGGGGGAGCAUUGAUUACUGCAGCCACUGCAAGCGUAUCCCCUUUCCUCAUACUGGGAAUUGUGGCAAUUGGGGCUACAACAGUAUACUAUUUAAAAAGAAAUAAUGGACAUCAAAUACGUCAAAUACACCGAUGACCACAUCCCAUGUUUGUGGCCAGACGUUUAUGGAUGUGUGUGCGGACAUGGCCACUUUAACUAAAACAUUGGAGUAAAUAAAAGCAAUAAACGUCCUUAACUGUUGACUCAUU